GUCCGAGCUCGGCGCGUGCGCAGAGCGCCGGCGCGUGCUGCGGGGGCGCGCGCCGGGCCGUGAGGGCAGCGGCGGGAACGUGAGGGGAGCGACCGGGAGAUGUCCCCAGGAGAAUGAGGCUGAGGUGAGGCAGCAAGAGCACAGAACUCUUGCGGGUUCGGCGCAGGGGGAAGGCGCCUCCAUCCCGUGUGCGGAGCUGCGCCCCGGAGCCGCGUGCCUCUGGAAAGGCCGAGGGAGCAGGAGCGGGGGCAGAGCCCUCAUUUGAGCACCAGGAAGUAGGUGGUCCAGCCGGCCAGCAGCAGCGCCCCGAGCAGCACGGUGUAGCUGAACAGCACGAAGGCCAGCAGCUCCCGCAGCACCUUGAGGAAGUGGAUGGCAAAGGAGUCUGGCAUGGCUCUCCCGGCUCCCAGCUCCUCCCUGGCCUGGAAGCAGAGGAACAAGAGAUGCACUGGAUGGAGCAAAGCCAGUUUUUGCCAGGCUGAGUGAUGUCCACCAGGUUACCUGGCAUCCUGCUGGAUUUACAUGAUUCCUAC